GGAAGGGAUGGUUGUGGAACGGUGACCUAGAAGAGGCACUGCCUUCCAAGGGGUUCAAACAGUCUUCAGCAUGGAGCCAAAGUACAUCAUAUACAAGGAUCAGUGUUCAAGAUGGGAUGGCUCCCCUUUACUGUAUCUGGCAAAGCCCCAUCUGGUGAAAGACCGUGUCUCUUCCUCAGACUCCACUUGCACCUCAGCAGCAGGCUGUUGUCAAAAUAACACCGGAGACUAUACUGAUGGGCUUCCUUCAAAUACGCGAUCGGAUCAGAAACUCCUGUGGGCUCACCAGAUGUCAGGAGCGAUGGGACACCAGAGGCGGAAGAACCUAUGUCCCCAGGCUACAGCAAAGCUCCCAGCCCUAUGAAAAUCAUCUAGCCUGCUCUGAGCCACAUGCCUAGAGGUCACAGAGGCAUGCGGGAAAGUGAGAGGAAGUGGAAACGUGCUACAAAAAGGGCUCAAAGCAAUGUGCUCACCACCGGAAAAAAAAAUAAAAAUAA
rnacentral:lncRNA from 1 species